rnacentral:tRNA from 1 species
UCCCUCUUAGCUCAGUUGGUAGAGCGCGUCACUAGUACUAUCAAGUAAUGAUCAUGACGAGGUCAGUCGUUCGAGUCGGCUAGAGGGAA